UACGUAGGGUGCGAGCGUUGUCCGGAAUUACUGGGCGUAAAGAGCUCGUAGGCGGUUUGUCGCGUCGUCCGUGAAAACUUGGGGCUCAACCCCAAGCUUGCGGGCGAUACGGGCAGACUUGAGUACUGCAGGGGAGACUGGAAUUCCUGGUGUAGCGGUGAAAUGCGUUGAUAUCGUUCGGAACACCGAAAGCGAAGGCAGAGCACUGGGUGCCACCUGACACUGCUAGGACGAAAGCGUGGGGAGCGAAUGGG
rnacentral:rRNA from 1 species